GCCUGUCUAGUAAACAGGAGAUCCUGGGU
rnacentral:piRNA from 1 species